CAGAAAACCAGGACCCCCUCCAUGAUGCAGGCUAUGGGGCCACAUAAAACUUUGUCCAGGGUUACUACAUAACAUAAAGAACCCCCUGAAUGAUGUAGGCUAUGGGGCCACAUAAGACUUUGUCCAUCCAGGGUUACGAUGAAUGCAAAAUUUAAACUAAAGAACCCCCUGAAUGAUGUAGGCUAUGGGGCCACAUAAGACUUUGUCCAUCCAGGGUUAUGAUGAAUGCAAAAUUUAAACUAAAGAGCUACCAGACUGGGAUUUUAGUGUACUCCAGGAUCUAACAAAUACAUACGUACUACUACGAAGUGUGCAAUGCAUAAUAUAGUGUAUAGUGUUUAGUGUAUACCCUAAGGAUUAAGUGUAGUACAUUGUGCUUUUUAGUGUCACAAGAGUUUAAUAAAGAAUUAUACCUUCAAGAACCAUCCUUUGCCAUUGGA